GAAACCCCAAACCCUAACCAUCCCAAGUGCCACUUCCUCAAAUAAGGCCACAGCUCUGAAGCCUUCUCUAAUAGUUCUACUAACUAGGAACCAAGCAUUCACAUAUGCUCUGCAUGAGUUGGAUGAUGGCCUGCAGUUCAGUAGUAAUUGCUUUUCUUUGCUAGCUCUACUGAUCAAAAUUCUGUCACCUUCCAGAAACAUGCCCACAGAGCUCUACCAGCUUCAGACAACCCCUUAGUACAUCUUCCAGAACACCCAACAGAACCCUACCAGCUUCAGAUAACCCCUUAGUUUGUCUUCCAGAACCCCACCCCCGACCCCUGCCAAGAGAGACCUACCAGCUUCAGGUAACUCCUUAGUCCAUCUUCCAGAAACAGUCCCAUAGAGCCCUACCAACCUCAGACAACCCCUUAGCCCAGUUAAGUUGAAAUUUAAAGUUUACUAUCACACAUUCUCUAUCAUUCUCCCAAAAGCUGGGUUUGUAUUGAAUACCCAGGGGUCCUGAGGACUGUGCUACAUCUGGCAUGGGAUAUCUGAGGGGAAAAAAAAAUCUACAUACACUAUGCUCUUAUGUCUAUUAACUUUAUUCCUCUAAUACAAAAUUCUAUCAAUAUAGCUAUAGCUCCGUCAGGCACUCAGGACAAGAAUAAAUAUAGAUACACCAA